GGCCUAACACAUGCAAGUCGAGCGGAAACGAGUUAUCUGAACCUUCGGGGGACGAUAACGGCGUCGAGCGGCGGACGGGUGAGUAAUGCCUAGGAAAUUGCCCUGAUGUGGGGGAUAACCAUUGGAAACGAUGGCUAAUACCGCAUGAUGCCUACGGGCCAAAGAGGGGGACCUUCGGGCCUCUCGCGUCAGGAUAUGCCUAGGUGGGAUUAGCUAGUUGGUGAGGUAAGGGCUCACCAAGGCGACGAUCCCUAGCUGGUCUGAGAGGAUGAUCAGCCACACUGGAACUGAGACACGGUCCAGACUCCUACGGGAGGCAGCAGUGGGGAAUAUUGCACAAUGGGCGCAAGCCUGAUGCAGCCAUGCCGCGUGUGUGAAGAAGGCCUUCGGGUUGUAAA
rnacentral:rRNA from 1 species